UGGGGAAUUUUGGACAAUGGGGGCAACCCUGAUCCAGCAAUGCCGCGUGAGUGAAGAAGGCCUUCGGGUUGUAAAGCUCUUUUGUCAGGGAAGAAACGGUUAUUUCUAAUACAGAUGACUAAUGACGGUACCUGAAGAAUAAGCACCGGCUAACUACGUGCCAGCAGCCGCGGUAAUACGUAGGGUGCAAGCGUUAAUCGGAAUUACUGGGCGUAAAGCGUGCGCAGGCGGUUAUGCAAGACAGAUGUGAAAUGCCCGGGCUCAACCUGGGAACUGCAUUUGUGACUGCAUGGCUAGAGUGUGUCAGAGGGGGGUAGAAUUCCACGUGUAGCAGUGAAAUGCGUAGAGAUGUGGAGGAAUACCGAUGGCGAAGGCAGCCCCCUGGGAUAACACUGACGCUCAUGCACGAAAGCGUGGGGAGCAAACAGGAUUAGAUACCCUGGUAGUCCACGCCCUAAACGAUGUCGACUAGUUGUCGGGUCUUAAUUGACUUGGUAACGCAGCUAACGCGUGAAGUCGACCGCCUGGGGAGUACGGUCGCAAGAUUAAAACUCAAAGGAAUUGACGG
rnacentral:rRNA from 1 species